UACGUAGGGUGCAAGCGUUGUCCGGAAUUAUUGGGCGUAAAGAGCUCGUAGGCGGCUUGUCGCGUCGACUGUGAAAUCUCGGGCUUAACUUCGGGCGUGCAGUCGAUACGGGCUGGCUUGAGUGCGGUAGGGGAGACUGGAUUCUCGGUGGUAGCGGUGGAAAAUGCGCAGAUAUCAGGAGGAACACCGGUGGCGAAGGCGGGUCUCUGGGCCGAAACUGACGCUGAGGAGCGAAAGCGUGGGGAGCGAACAGG
rnacentral:rRNA from 1 species